rnacentral:rRNA from 1 species
UACGUAGGGUGCUAGCGUUAAUCGGAAUUACUGGGCGUAAAGCGUGCGCAGGCGGUUUGUUAAGUCUGUUGUGAAAUCCCCGAGCUCAACUUGGGAAUUGCAAUGGAUACUGGCAGGCUGGAGUAUGGUAGAGGAAGGUGGAAUUCCCGGUGUAGCAGUGAAAUGCGUAGAGAUCGGGAGGAACACCAGUGGCGAAGGCGGCCUUCUGGACCAAUACUGACGCUCAUGCACGAAAGCGUGGGGAGCAAACAGG